rnacentral:rRNA from 1 species
GACGAACGCUGGCGGCGUGCUUAACACAUGCAAGUCGAACGGAAAGGCCCUGCUUUUGUGGGGUGCUCGAGUGGCGAACGGGUGAGUAACACGUGAGUAACCUGCCCUUGACUUUGGGAUAACUUCAGGAAACUGGGGCUAAUACCGGAUAGGAGCUCCUGCUGCAUGGGGGGGGUUGGAAAGUUUCGGCGGUUGGGGAUGGACUCGCGGCUUAUCAGCUUGUUGGUGGGGUAGUGUCUUACCAAGGCAUUGACGGGUAGCCGGCCUGGGAGGGUGACCGGCCACAUUGGGACUGAGAUACGGCCCAGACGCCUACGGGAGGCAGCAGGGGGGAAUAUUGCACAAUGGGCGGAAGCCUGAUGCAGCAACGCCGCGUGCGGAAUGACGGCCUUCGGGUUGUAAACCGCUUUCGCCUGUGACGAAGCGUGAGUGACGGUAAUGGGUAAAGAAGCACCGGCUAACUACGUG